CCAAAGAAUCGACCGUACCGCAAACCGACACAGGUGGGCAGGUUGAAAAUACCAAGGCGCUUGAGAGAACUCGGGAGAAGGAACUCGGCAAAUUGAUACCGUAACUUCGGGAGAAGGUAUGCCCCGGUAGCUUGUAGGAGUACAUCCGAAGGGCGAUGGGGCCGCAGAGAAUCGGUGGCUGCGACUGUUUAUUAAAAACACAGCACUCUGCAAACACGAAAGUGGACGUAUAGGGUGUGACGCCUGCCCGGUGCCGGAAGGUUAAGUGAUGGGGUGCAAGCUCUUGAUCGAAGCCCCGGUAAACGGCGGCCGUAACUAUAACGGUCCUAAGGUAGCGAAAUUCCUUGUCGGGUAAGUUCCGACCUGCACGAAUGGCGUAACGAUGGCCACACUGUCUCCUCCCGAGACUCAGCGAAGUUGAAAUGUUUGUGAAGAUGCAAUCACCCCGCGGCUAGACGGAAAGACCCCAUGAACCUUUACUGUAGCUUUGCAUUGGACUUUGACGGGACUUGUGUAGGAUAGGUGGGAGGCUUUGAAGCCAGGACGCUAGUUCUGGUGGAGCCAACCUUGAAAUACCACCCUGGUGUCGUUGAGGUUCUAACCUUGGUCCGUGAAUCCGGAUCGGGGACCGUGCAUGGUAGGCAGUUUGACUGGGGCGGUCUCCUCCCAAAGAGUAACGGAGGAGUACGAAGGUCUUCUAGGUACGGUCGGACAUCGUACUGAUAGUGCAAUGGCAAAAGAAGGCUUGACUGCGAGACCCACAAGUCGAGCAGGUGCGAAAGCAGGUCAUAGUGAUCCGGUGGUUCUGUAUGGAAGGGCCAUCGCUCAACGGAUAAAAGGUACUCUGGGGAUAACAGGCUGAUUCCGCCCAAGAGUUCACAUCGACGGCGGAGUUUGGCACCUCGAUGUCGGCUCAUCACAUCCUGGGGCUGUAGCCGGUCCCAAGGGUAUGGCUGUUCGCCAUUUAAAGUGGUACGCGAGCUGGGUUUAAAACGUCGUGAGACAGUUUGGUCCCUAUCUGCCGUGGGCGUUGGAAGUUUGAGGGGACCUGCUCCUAGUACGAGAGGACCGGAGUGGACGAAUCUCUGGUGUACCGGUUGUCACGCCAGUGGCAUUGCCGGGUAGCUAAAUUCGGAAGAGAUAACCGCUGAAAGCAUCUAAGCGGGAAACUCGCCUCAAGAUGAGACUUCCCUGGGGAUUCAAUCCCCCUGAAGGGUCGUUCAAGACCAGGACGUUGAUAGGUCAA
rnacentral:rRNA from 1 species